rnacentral:rRNA from 1 species
UACAGAGGGGGCAAGCGUUGUUCGGAAUUACUGGGCGUAAAGGGCGCGUAGGCGGCCUUCUAAAGUCGAACGUGAAAUCCCCGGGCUCAACCCGGGAACUGCGUCCGAUACUGGAAGGCUUGAAUCCGGGAGAGGGAUGCGGAAUUCCAGGUGUAGCGGUGAAAUGCGUAGAUAUCUGGAGGAACACCGGUGGCGAAGGCGGCUCCUGGACCGACACUGACGCUGAGGCCGCGAAAGCGUGG